GAAAAGAAAAACAAUCCUUGGGGCCUGCUAACCAUCAUCUCCAGGACAAAAACCAAAACUGGAACCAUGCUGGACAGAUUGGACUAAGAGGGGGCCAUUUUCUCCAUCAGAAAAGUGAAUGUGUAGCACAGCAGGGGGUCUCACUGGAGCUCAACCAAGCCCAGGCUUCCCACAGACUCCCUGGCUAUGAGCUCCUGAAGGCAGGGAACAAGCAUUUCUGGCUUUCUUGGACUCCCCAGCAUCCAGUAAAGAAACUGGCACAUUUUGGUCACGGAGUAAAUGGGUGUGGUCUCAUUUCUUGCAGAGCAUGGCACCUCACAAUCAAGGAUAAGCAGCAACAGGAUCCCUGGGGCCUAUUUGCCAACACACCAAGGAGGAGAACUAAAACUGGAACCAGGCUGUGCAGGAUGACCUAAGAGGCUGCCAUUUCCUCCAUCCUGGAAUAUCUUGAUGGAGACAGCCCAGGCCCUGGAGUCUAGGAGCAGCCCAAGGUCCCCAGAGAUCAUCUUGGAGAUACUUCCUGGUCAUGAGUCGUGCAGUGGCUCCAGACA